GCUGGUAGUUAUGGCGUGAAGGUCACACCCGUUCCCAUCCCGAACACGGUAGUUAAGCUUCUCUGCGCCAAUGGUAGUUGGGGGCUUCCCCCUGCGAGAGUAGGUCGCUGCCGGGC
rnacentral:rRNA from 1 species